CCCUUAGAUGUUCUGGGCCGCACGCGUGCUACACUGAGUGGAUCAGCGGGUCAGGUUGCGCGAAAGCGUUUCCUAAUCUUUAAAUCCGCUCGUGAUGGGGAUUGACGGUUGCAAUUUUCUGUCAUGAACGAGGAAUACCUUGUAAGCGCGGGUCAUCAUCCCGCGCUGAAUACGUCCCUGCCCUUUGUACACACCGCCCGUCGCUCCUACCGAUUGAGUGGUCCGGUGAAGCCUCGGGAUUGUGGCGAGUUUCCUUUAUUGGGAGUUUGUCGCGAGAACUUGUCUAAACCUUAUCAUUUAGAGGAAGGUGAAGUCGUAACA
rnacentral:rRNA from 1 species